rnacentral:tRNA from 1 species
ACUAGCUCAGUUGGUAGAGCGUUAGGUUCGCAAUCUAAAGGUCAGGGGUUCGAUCCCCCU